rnacentral:rRNA from 1 species
GGAAUAUUGCACAAUGGGCGCAAGCCUGAUGCAGCCAUGCCGCGUGUAUGAAGAAGGCCUUCGGGUUGUAAAGUACUUUCAGCGGGGAGGAAGGUGUUGAGGUUAAUAACCUCAGCAAUUGACGUUACCCGCAGAAGAAGCACCGGCUAACUCCGUGCCAGCAGCCGCGGUAAUACGGAGGGUGCAAGCGUUAAUCGGAAUUACUGGGCGUAAAGCGCACGCAGGCGGUCUGUCAAGUCGGAUGUGAAAUCCCCGGGCUCAACCUGGGAACUGCAUUCGAAACUGGCAGGCUAGAGUCUUGUAGAGGGGGGUAGAAUUCCAGGUGUAGCGGUGAAAUGCGUAGAGAUCUGGAGGAAUACCGGUGGCGAAGGCGGCCCCCUGGACAAAGACUGACGCUCAGGUGCGAAAGCGUGGGGAGCAAACA